CACGUAGGGUGCGAGCGUUGUCCGGAAUUAUUGGGCGUAAAGAGCUCGUAGGCGGUGUGUCGCGUCGGCCGUGAAAACCUGCAGCUUAACUGUGGGCUUGCGGUCGAUACGGGCAUCACUGGAGUUCGGCAGGGGAGACUGGAAUUCCUGGUGUAGCGGUGAAAUGCGCAGAUAUCAGGAGGAACACCGGUGGCGAAGGCGGGUCUCUGGGCCAUAACUGACGCUGGAGAAGCGAAAGCAUCGGGGAGCGAACAGG
rnacentral:rRNA from 1 species